UACGUAGGUGGCAAGCGUUGUCCGGAAUUAUUGGGCGUAAAGCGCGCGCAGGCGGUCCUUUAAGUCUGAUGUGAAAGCCCACGGCUCAACCGUGGAGGGUCAUUGGAAACUGGGAGACUUGAGUACAGAAGAGAAGAGUGGAAUUCCACGUGUAGCGGUGAAAUGCGUAGAGAUGUGGAGGAACACCAGUGGCGAAGGCGACUCUUUGGUCUGUAACUGACGCUGAGGCGCGAAAGCGUGGGGAGCAAACAGG
rnacentral:rRNA from 1 species